rnacentral:rRNA from 1 species
AACGAACGCUGGCGGCAUGCCUAACACAUGCCAGUCGAACGAAGGCUUCGGCCUUAGUGGCGCACGGGUGCGUAACGCGUGGGAAUCUGCCCUUAGGUUCGGAAUAACAGUUAGAAAUGACUGCUAAUACCGGAUGAUGACGUAAGUCCAAAGAUUUAUCGCCUGAGGAUGAGCCCGCGUAGGAUUAGCUAGUUGGUGUGGUAAAGGCGCACCAAGGCGACGAUCCUUAGCUGGUCUGAGAGGAUGAUCAGCCACACUGGGACUGAGACACGGCCCAGACUCCUACGGGAGGCAGCAGUGGGGAAUAUUGGACAAUGGGCGCAAGCCUGAUCCAGCAAUGCCGCGUGAGUGAUGAAGGCCUUAGGGUUGUAAAGCUCUUUUACCCGUGAUGAUAAUGACAGUAGCGGGAGAAUAAGCCCCGGCUAACUCCGUG